GAACCGUACGAACGUUAUUCGGAAUCACUGGGCUUAAAGGGUGCGUAGGCGGCUUUGCAAGUUGGGGUGUGAAAUCCCUCGGGCUCAACCGAGGAACUGCGCCCAAAACUGCAAGGCUUGAGGGAGGUAGAGGUGAGCGGAACUCACGGUGGAGCGGUGAAACGCGUUGAUAUCGUGAGGAACACCAGUGGCGAAGGCGGCUCACUGGACCUCUUCUGACGCUGAGGCACGAAAGCUAGGGUAGCGAACAGGAUUAGAUACCCUGGUAGUCCUAGCUGUAAACGAUGAGCACUGGGUUGGAGGGUCCUCCAUAGCUUUCCGACCGAAGCGAAAGUGUUAAGUGCUCCGCCUGGGGAGUAUGGUCGCAAGGCUG
rnacentral:rRNA from 1 species